AAAAUUGUUUUCAUAUAUGUUGUUUCAUGCAUUUAAAAAUUUAGUUUAGUAAUCAAACGCAAAUUCAAUAAGACAAAUAUAUAAUAAGCAACAUAUAUAUGUGAUUUUAAUUUACUGCAUAAAAACUAUAAAAUUAUUAUAUUUGGCAUAAUUAUACAAACAUUUAAAUAUGUGAGUAACAUUAAAAAUAUAUAAUAAUAAUUAUGUAAGUAUUUCCGCCUGUCACGCGGGUGACCCGGAUUCGAUACCCGACAACGGCGUAUUUUUGUUUUUUCAACAAAAAAAAAUGUGAAAAUAUAUACCCGCACGGUUGUGCGGGUGGAAAUCUAGUCUAUUAUUAUAACAAAUGUGUUUCUUCAUAAAAUUUAUAUCAAGUGUUUUUAUGAUUUUUAUUAUCAGUUGUUUUUAUAUGUUUAUGUGAUCCUUUUUAUCUAUAAAAUAUUAAUGCUGUGAAAUUUAUUGUUGCAAAAUUUAGUAAGAAAUUAACUUCAAAUUAUUUGCAAUAUAAUUAAUUUUACAAUGACAUGUAAUAUUAUUAAAAUUUUAAAAGACUAUAUAAUUUAAAUUAAGAAUGUUUAGCAAUAUAAUGUAAAACCAUAUUGUAAAUAUAUUUUUAUGUUUAUUAAUUGUAAAUGUGAUAUUUUAAUGUAAUAUCAGAAAAAUGUUUAAUUGUUUUGUUAACAUCAAAAUUAAAAUAUUGAAAUAAUUAAUUCAAAGUCUAUAUAAUUAAAGGUUGUUUGAUAAAUAUAAAUCGAAUGGGCCCCCAACAAAUUUGUUGUUGUCGUUUGUAGUCCAAUAAAACUAAUACUUAUUUUUGGUCUCAUAGACCAUUUGUAUAUAUGUACUAGAUUUUGACCCGCGCUUCGAAAGCGCGGGUAUUUUGGGUUAUAAACAAAAUUGAAUAUAAAUUAGUAUUUUGUGUUUAUUGUAUAUUAUUGUGUUAUAAAGUUGUAGUAUAUCGAAUAAGGAUAUUUGUAUAAAAAUAUAUGAUAUAUGAAUCAGUUUAUUUGAGAUUUUAUAUGUACACUCUUUUGCAACUCUCUCUUACGUAUGAGCGUUUUACCUGGAUACAAAAGAACGCUGAGAAACUAACACGAAAUACAGGUUUUGGUCCAAGGAUCAUGGCAAAGUACCUGUUGGAUUUUUUGGGCCUGUGGGUCCUUUGUUUUUUUUGGCCUGUGGAUAAUUUUUUAGGUUUUAAGUUAACAUUUUCGGUUAUAGUUUUGAGUUUCAGGUAAAAUUUCAAAAUUUUAAAAACGUAUUUCAGGUAAUCGAAUAAACUUUGGAUAUAUUUGGUCGAUCGAGUAAGAUUCGAGUAAAAUUUUGGGUUUUUUGAAUAUUUAAAUAUUUUGAGUAUUUAUUUGAUUUUAUUUUUCGUAUUUUGGCUUUUUCGUCUUAGUUUGAGUAUUUUUUGUUCCGGAUAUCCGAAUAGAUCUAAUUCAUUAUGUAUCCAAAUUAUAUAUAAUUUACAGGUACUUGAAUUAUAGAUUUGAACUGACCCGGAUCCAAAAGGAACCAACUUAAACCCAAACCAAAUUUUCUUCAAAACCUAGUUGGAUUCAAAUGUCUAGGAUCCGAAGAAAUCAGACUCGAAAGACAUCGAUUUGUGUCCGAUCCAAAGACCUGAAUAAACCUAUUUUUCUCAUUAUAUUUGGUGAGUAUUUUAUAAGAGUUACAUUUUUUCGGUUAACGAAACUUAUAAAUUACUUGGAAUAUUUUUGGGUAAUUUAAUAUUAUAGAUUUGUAGAAUUGUUUUUUCUAAUGUAUCCUUUUUGGAAAUUUUUUUAAAAAUAGUUUCAAUUCGUGAAAAUUUAAGACAUAUAUUAUAUUUUGGUUUGUGUUGUUUUUACCAAAAAAAUUAUAAAUAUAAAUCUGUGCAAAAUAUAACAUUAUGUUUAUAUUUUUUUAUAUCAAAAGUUAAUAUGAUAUUUUCAAAAAUAGCUGAACUAAACUAUUUAAUUUUAAAAUUCUUAACCCAUAAACACACUAAAAAUGGCCCAACAUAAACAUUGUAAACAAAGCCAAAAUACACACUAAAUUUUCCAGGAAUGAAACAACCAAGUUACGUUAUCAAAAAAGUUAACAACUCUGGAAAAUUCUCUUCAAGUGUCUUUCUCUCUCUGAUCGGUUCAGAUAAUGUUGCAUGUAUGAUCCGAUGAUAGAUCUGUUUAUUCCUGUCUCUCAAUACAAACCAAGCUUGGAGACCUCGAUCCAGAUUUUCCUAUUACUUCAGGUAAAUAAAGUUUCAUCAUUUAUCUUACUCGAUUAAUCACUAAAUAAAAAUAGAGUCUAACCCUUUUUACCAUUUUCUUUGAAAUUUUGAAUGUCGCAAUGGUGAUUUCUUUCUGGUUCUAAACAAUCACCGAUCAAGGGCAGGUAUAUCUCCCAUAUCUAACUCUUUAUAAUGUUUUUCUAAAUGUUUUGCAUGUUUGACGAUAUUAAGAUUAUAUAUGUAGCUCUUUCACUCUGUAUAAUAGAUUUUUUUUUUCUUAAUUUUUCAGAAGAAAAUACACUGUAUGAUGCUGAAGGACAUGAGGCACAGUCGAACCAAAUCCUUACAGUACACAGAUAAGUCUCGGACUAAAGGGUUAUUGAGUUGUCUUAUACCCUAGUUAAUUUCUAGGAUGUUCUAGAAUUUUAUUUGUUGCCUUAUUAAUGUUUACGAUUCAUGUGCAGGUCUUGCAGUGGCAGAGAAUAGUGGCAGAACUUUAUUAAUGUGACUCUAACCUUAAUCACAAAAACCUCAAACCUGAGAAAAAGAUAAGUUUUUAUUAGAUGACAUAAAUUUCAACGCAUACAGUGACUAUAUUAUAUUUAGUAUUUGUAAAAUCUAAACUGUUGACUAAUGUUUUCUCUUAAUUUUACAGAAGAGAGUCUAUAUGCUGUAUGAUGAUGAAGCAAAGUCAAACCAAACUUUCGAACCAGUAUACAGAUAAGUCUUGGAUUAUAGUUUAAAAGUCUAGAUUGUUGUAUAUUUGACUGAGUUGUCGUAUUAAUGUAUACAAUUGAAGUGCAUGCCGUGCAGUGUCAUAAUAGAGCCAGCGCUUUGUUCAUGUGAAGGUCAUGGGGACAGUGGACAUUCUGCAAUACGUUUCCAAGUGUGGAUUACUUUCACUUACUUUGGCUUCGAUCAAUCAAGUUGUUUCCCAUGGCCUAAUCGUAUCAAGAAUCCAACAAUUGUUGAAGCUUCUGUUUUUUAUUAUGAACAUCAGUAUCAAAUUAUCAAUAUUCAAAGAUUUGGUAAAGGUACUGUCUAAGAAAUGUAAAUCAGUGUGUCAUAGCAAUUGGAGUUUUUUUUUAAACGUAAUUGUUCUUUUGAUAUGUAAUUAAUUUUUUAUAUGUAGCUGUUACUUUGAUAUGUAAUGGAUGAUACAUUCGGUAGUUAAUUUAGCGUAGGUGUUGUUUAAAUGUUGUUUAAAUAAAAGGAAUUUCAAAAAAUACAUAAUUUAAUUAAAAGCAUACACUCAAAAUAUUCCAAUGGCAGAGAAGGGUAAAUACUUCAAAACUUCAAGGUGACUUCAAAAAAGGCCCUUCAGUUUUAAUAGUAUUGACUAGAUUUUGACCCGCGCUUUGAAAGCGCGGAAUUUUUCUUUUCGGUUCUACUUCGAUUGUUGUUUUAAGUUUUUAGGUUAAAGAGAUAAAACUGUUUGAUUAUGUAUAGAUUUGGCUCAAAUUAUUUGACCUGAUUAGUUUUUGAUAUUUGGUACAUUGAUUCCGUUCUUGGUUUAGUUCUAAUUUAGUUUAAUUUUUCAUGUUCUACAAAUAUAUAAAUCAAAGCGCAGGAUUUUUUUUGUCAUAAUUUUUUUUUAGAUUAAAAAGAUAUAAAAACCAUUCGAUUAUGUAUAGAUUUGGCUCAAAUUAUUUGACGUGAUUAGUUUUUGAUAUUUGGUACAUUGAUUCGGUUUUGGUUUAGUUAUAAUUUAGUUCAAUUUUUCAUGUUCUAUAAAUAUAUAAUUCAUUCUGAUUUAUAUGAAUAUUUUUUCUUCUUUACUUUUGUAUUUUGAGUUUGGUAUGUUUUAGUUUGAUUCGAUUUAUAUGUGGAGGUUUAAAUUUAUUUAAAAAAACUUGUCUUGCAUUUGACUCAUAACCAGUGUUUUUGAAACCCGACCCGGAUCUGCCGCGAUUGAACCGGUAAACCCGAUGACCCAAAAAAAAUCUGGUUUGGGUUUUGUGAAAAAUUAAUAUUUAGAAACCCGCAAAAAUCCAGUAAAACCUAGAACUCGAUACCGGUUGAACCACCAGGUGAACCAAUAAAUAACUUUUUUUUUUUAGUUUUAAAUUAUGUUUUUAGAUUAUGUUUUAUAUUUUCAGUUUCCAAUUAAGAAGUUAGGUGCUGACAAAAAAAAAGAAGUUAGGUUUUCCCUUUUCAGUUUUAUAUUUGUGAUUUUUAGAUUUUGAUGAAGAUUUCACUAUAGCACCUGUAGAAAAUGAAAUGAAAGAUGGUAGAGAGAACCAAAAUUAGUUGAUGUGAUUUGGUGUUAGUUUAUUUCCGUUAUUGACAAUUAUUACAAUGAUUUUUUACUUUUGGUUUAUUUUGUAUUUGAAGUUUAAUUUAUUAUUUACAUUAGACAUUUAAAUAUUUAUAAAUUUUAUGUCUUGAUAUUUUAAAGAUAUCAUAACUCUUACCUUGUUAGAGAAAAUUUUAAAUAGUCUAAACUAUUUUUUUGAUAUUUUGUAUGUCAAUUGAAAAUAAAAAAAUAUAAAAACUAAAGUUAAGUAUUUUCUAAAUGUUUUUAAACAUAAAAUAUAUACAUAUCCAAACUAUUAUUUUAAGUUUUCAAAAAUAUUUAGAAAAUAUUAAACUUUAGUUUCUAUAUUUUGUUUUACAUAGUUGAUAUAUUAUUAUAUAAUAAAAUUAAUUUAUUUAUUAACUCACGGUUCACCCGCGGUCGACCCAGUGACCCAGCAAUCCGGUAAGUCAUCCGGUUCAGUGUCCGGGUUGGGUUUUAAAACAUUGCUCAUAACUGAUUUUAAAAUAUUUUUAAUGAUAAAUUUUAUAACAAAUUAUAAAUUUAAUGCUUAAAGUUUAAAUAUAAGUAAAAAUUUUGCUACAUGAAUGUUUAAUUUGGAAUAAUAAACUAAAUGCAAAGUCUUCUACUUUAUUACAUUUAAUUCUGAAAAACGCUGAUCAUAUUUAUUUCAAAAACAUUCUGCAUACAUUGGCCAAGGUAUUAAAGACUUUUAAAAAAAUGUUUCAAAAAGAAAAGUCCAUCGUUAAUACAAAAGUUUUCAAUUUUAUGUCAAAUACUAACCGAAUACUUCCGGCAAUCAAGUUUAUUUGCCAAGUUUUGAGGUUUUGAUUUAGUGGAUUAUAUUUUUGGUAUUUGAAGUGGGAAAGUUUAGGAUUUAAAUAAUUUGGUCAACUAUAUUUGAAUAAUGCAACAUAUAGGAUUUAUGGUGCAAUCAUUUGUAAGCAAAACUUCUGUUUGGAAGUGACGACUGGUAAAAACAAUGAUAUUAACAGAUAUGUAUUGUUUUUAUUUUGAAGUUUGCAGAAUCCAAUAAACGUUCAAGCUUGGUAUUGCUGGAACAUCAUUCUCAAUAUACAAAGAGAUGGUAUAUCUAAUCUAUAAAAAAUGAAAAUUAGUGUUGAUGCAAUUGAAGUUUGUUUAAAAUGUAGAUGUUACUUUAUUAUUUAAUGAUACGUUAUGUUUCAUUAGGAAGACACUAUGUUACUUUUAAAAUAAAAGAAUUACGUAGCUGUAAUGUAGGUGUUUCUGUUUAAAUAAAAAGAAUUUCGAAAAUAUUGAUUUUAAUUAAAAGCAUAUGUUUAAAUAAAGUUAGUGGCAGUGUAUUGUAAAUACUUUAAAACUCUAAGGUGACCUCAAAAAAGGCCUUCAGUUUUAAUAGUAUUGAUUGAUUAUUUGUUUAAUAUGAUCCAUGCCCACAAAACCUUUUUUGGCAAACACACAAAAAUUCAUCUGUCUUUUUGCCUUCUUCAAGAAAAGUCUUGCUCUGAAAUAAAGAUUACUUUCUUGAAAUAGAAAACGAAAAUUGGGAGAUACAUCCUCCAUCGACACCAAUCUUUACAGGCAUUUCACUUCUCACUUAUUUUUUUUUUGAUCAAUAGAUCAUACGUUCAUCUGAAUCAUUUUUGAUAAAUAGAAACGCACUUACACACACACACACACAUAUAUAUAUAUAUAUUAUAUAUAUAAUUUUUUUUUGUCUUUCCAGAAAAGGGUUGCAUGUCGAAUCUGAUAUCAUAACUUUUUAAUCGGAUGAGCUUCAUAUUGUUUUGUAUAUCCAAAAAAGAUCUGUAAGAAAAGACAUUUCUCCAUCAAAAAAUCACACGAAGAUCGAGAGUUCAAGGAUCCAACUACUCCAAAAUGGUCACGUAAAUAUAAUCUAAAUUCAUUUUGAAAUUCUAAAGAUAGUAGGUUAAUCUGACCGAUUUACAAAAAAGUUUAAAAUCGAAAUCUAACUUUGUUUUUCUUUUUCGAAAUGUUGCAUGUCGAACGAUGGGUUGUGCGGAUUAUAGGAGUGACUUCUGAUGGUUUCAGAUAUAAUUGACAAAAAUAAGCAAUAAAGUUUGAUAUUGUUCAAACUUUGUCAAAACCAUUAAAGGUUUGUAAUCGAAAUGAUUUCUUUCUUCAAAAAAAAAUACUCUAUUUCCUGCUCUAAGAUUUGAUAUUCGUAACAUUCAUUGUAAAAUAUAGAUUAGUCUGUAAUCGAACAGAACUAUUAAAUUUUAUAUAAAAAUGAUUUGUGAUUCAGCUAUAUUAGUUAUGUUUUCUUUAUUGCAGCAUUCACAGGAGUUAACAUGUUGUGCCGUUGUACUACUCAAAUGAAAAGGACUGCAAGAAAUAAGUAAUAUGCAAUGAUGCUCAAAAACGAAGGACUGGUGGCUAUUUAUAAUCAUAAAUGUAUAUCUAAAAUAAUCGUUUGUUGUGUUUCUAUAAAAUAAUCAGAUUAUUUCCUUUACCUCAUGUAGUUGAAUCUAGAAAUCUAUGAUAUGAAGUUUUCCCUCGGGACCAUUGAACUUUAUAGGAUCUACAAAGAUUGAAAACAUAUAAAUUAUUUGAUCAAUAUGCUAUUUCUAAAACUGUAAAAUGUUAAAUAUUUUUGUUUUUGAAUUAUCUUAAACUUUGUUGUCUGCAAACACGAUCGUUUGUCCGAUCAAUUUUUUUUUUUAAUGUAGUUUGAAUUUUGAAGCCCUGCAAAAAUUAUAACAAUGAUCACAUGAAAAGAAAACAUACGCAAAACAGCAAAACGUAUUGAACUAUUUAAGUUUUUCUUCCAUUAAUUAACGAAAACAUAGACGCUUUUUGAUGAACCUGAUUUCGCUACAAUAACAAACAAAAAAAAAGUAAUCGUUCAAGUUGAUAUAUAUUUACCUUUUUAUCUGCAUUCGGAUGUUUCCAGGUGGUACUUUCACAUGAACGCUCCAUGCAGAUUUGAAAGGCUUAAGAACAGUUAGAUUGCUGAUUCUGAUUGUGGAACCCAUAAGUGUAUAUCACGGUUUUGGAGGUUUAAAAUGGUUAUUUUUGCUGGGUUUGAAAGGAUAAUUAUAUACUUCUUAUCGCAUGUAAAUUAUUAGGAUAGCAAACCAACUAAAUCGUUUUAAUUUAGGAAUAUUCUAGGUAUAUAUAUUAUUCGAUAUCUUAUAAGUUACAACAAUCUAUUCUUUAUGUUUUUGGAUGAUUAAAGUUGUUCAAUUUAGAUAAGAUAUAACAAUAUAGUUGCGAUUUUAUACCAGUUUAUUAGAUAGAAUAUCACAAUGUGUUGCGAUUAUACAGGGUAGUUUAUGCUUAAUUAUAUAUUAAAAAUUUUGCAAAAUAAUUGCAUUUGAAAAAGAUUUGCAAAUAAGCUUUAGCGAGUUUGUUUCAUAGUUGUUAAUCUCAGAAUUUAUAUUAUGUGAAUUUUAUAAAAUAAACAAAUCUGAUAAAAUCAUAGCAAAUUAAUACUCUGUAACUUGAAAUGAAUAAUUAUUGCAUUUUUCUAUUGUUUUUGUUUUUGGUGUACAUUUUGCUACGUGAAUUAGUUGUAGACUAUUGUGCUUUACAUGAGUACUAAAUUUCAAAUAUUACAGGUAUAAACUUUGAUGAUGAACUGGUGAAGAAGGAAGAUGUCAAGAUGAUGAAGUGGUGAAGAACAGUAUGGUGGCGAAGAGGAUGCUACGAUCUCUUUCUAGGUUUUAUUUCUAUAUUUGCUUCGUAAUUGUUAUUUUCCUGUCGGUUCUUGCAAUAUCAAAUUCUGUUUGUAUUAUAUGGUUGAAUAAUCAUGGUUUAAAUAAACCAUAAAUCUUUUAAAUAGAGGAUAAUAACUGUGAUUUACAAAAAAAAAAAAAAACAUUUAAUUAAAAGCAUAGA